CUAACGCGUUCGGCAGUCCUUACGCUAUCAAGCGAACGGAUAACAGGUCUUCGGAUGCUGACGAGUGGCGAACGGUAUACAUCGGAACGUGCCCGAGAGUGGGGGAUAACGAAGCGAAAGCUUUGCUAGUACCGCAUACGAUCUCAGGAUGAAAGCAGGAGACCGCAAUGCCUUGCGCUCACGGAGCGGCCGAUGGCAGAUUAGGUAGUUGGUGGGAUAAAAGCUUACCAAGCCGACGAUCUGUAGCUGGUCUGAGAGGACGACCAACCACACUGGGACUGAGACACGGCCCAGACUCCUACGGGAGGCAGCAGUGGGGAAUUUUGGACAAUGGGCGCAAGCCUGAUCCAGCCAUGCCGCGUGCAGGAUGAAGGCCUUCGGGUUGUAAACUGCUUUUGUC
rnacentral:rRNA from 1 species